GGAUAACCUACCCUUAGGACCGGGAUAACCCUGGGAAACUGGGGAUAAUACUGGAUAGGCAAUUUUUCCUGUAAUGGUUUUUUGUUUAAAUGUUUUUUCGCCUAAGGAUGGGUCUGCGGCCGAUUAGGUAGUUGGUUAGGUAAUGGCUUACCAAGCCGUUGAUCGGUACGGGUUGUGAGAGCAAGAGCCCGGAGAUGGAACCUGAGACAAGGUUCCAGGCCCUACGGGGUGCAGCAGGCGCGAAACCUCCGCAAUGUGAGAAAUCGCGACGGGGGGAUCCCAAGUGCCAUUCUUAACGGGAUGGCUUUUCAUUAGUGUAAAGAGCUUUUGGAAUAAGAGCUGGGCAAGACCGGUGCCAGCCGCCGCGGUAACACCGGCAGCUCUAGUGGUAGCAAUUUUUAUUGGGCCUAAAGCGUCCGUAGCCGGUUUAAUAAGUCUCUGGUGAAAUCUUGCAGCUUAACUGUGGGAAUUGCUGGAGAUACUAUUAGACUUGAGACCGGGAGAGGUUAGAGGUACUCCCAGGGUAGAGGUGAAAUUCUGUAAUCCUGGGAGGACCGCCUGUUGCGAAGGCGUCUAACUGGAACGGUUCUGACGGUGAGGGACGAAAGUUAGGGGGCGCGAACCGGAUUAGAUACCCGGGUAGUCCUAACUGUAAACGAUGCGGACUUGGUGUU
rnacentral:rRNA from 1 species